rnacentral:rRNA from 1 species
UAAACGCUGGCGGCGUGCUUAACACAUGCAAGUCGAACGGAGUGGUUCUCCCGAGGAUUGAUGGUGCUUGCACCUGAUUGACUCAUUGAAUCACUUAGUGGCGGACGGGUGAGUAACGCGUGGGAAACCUGCCCUAUACUGGGGGAUAGCAGUUGGAAACGACUGAUAAUACCGCAUAAGCGCACAGGACCGCAUGGUCCAGUGUGAAAAACUCCGGUGGUAUAGGAUGGUCCCGCGUCUGAUUAGCUAGUUGGUGAGGUAACGGCCCACCAAGGCGACGAUCAGUAGCCGGCCUGAGAGGGUGUACGGCCACAUUGGGACUGAGACACGGCCCAAACUCCUACGGGAGGCAGCAGUGGGGAAUAUUGGACAAUGGGGGAAACCCUGAUCCAGCCGACGCCGCGUGAACGAUGAAGUAUUUCGGUAUGUAAAGUUCUAUCAGCAGGGAAGAUAAUGACGGUACCUGACUAAGAAGCACCGGCUAAAUACGUGCCAGCCGCAGC